rnacentral:lncRNA from 1 species
AGUGUGAAAGAUGCGAGCCAUAGCAUCUCGUAACAUGAAGGCCAUCCAGCUCCAUCCUCCCACUGCUGCUUGAACAAUAUGCUUAACACGUAGUGCCGCAGUCGCUGCUUGGAUUGAAUGUGUUCAUGCACAGAUUUUAUCAUCUUGUUACUCAAACGACUGAUGGCUUCUGACCCUGCCUGAAAAUUUCCUAAGAGGUAACAGUUCUAGGACACAGAUGCUGGAGGGAGUGGAGGAAGAAGUUUAAUUACCACAUACAGCUCUUCCAUAUGCAAGGUCUCUGGGGCAAAACUGUCAUUCUGUCUGAAGCCAGACCCUCAAUGUCAGACUAAGAGAGUCGGAUGGAGACUACAUCUUCUGUGUGUGUUGCAAUGGGAGGACUUCUCUCCACCGAGUUUAGUGAGGGCAACACUGUCUCACAUGUCUGAAUGCUGUGCUGCACUGUUGACUGUCACUGUUGGGGAUAUUGGAAGAUCACAAGAAACUCCUGAUCCUGAAUACUGGCCUGAGCCUCUUUUGGAAGAGGCCUUCCAGAACCCUACUCUUGCUAGAACUGAAUGCCAGAGCUGUGUAAUGGGGACAUCCUGUUGUGAACUUAUGUCCUUUCUGGACAAAUGUAUUCAAUUUGAGGCAGCAUGCCCAAUGGUUAGCCACUCAACCUCUGAACCCAAACCCCCAGCUCUACUGCUUAAUAGCUAUAUAACCUUGAGAAAAUUCAUUAAUAUUCCUGUACUUCAAUUUUAUCAUGUAUAAAAUAAGGAUAAUAAUUUUACAUGUCUUAUGGGGUUGUUAUGAUGAUUAAAUGGGUUAACAUUUCUAAAAAAUACUUGAACAGUGCCUGAUACAUUGUAAAUGCAUAUAUAUGUGUUUUUAAAAAUAGACAAUUAUAUACCAUUAAAUGUUAACCUGGCUUUGAUGCAGCUAGUUGAUCAAAUAAUCUAAAUCUUUGUAAUUGGAUAGUAAUAGAAAAGAAGGAAGAGAAAGAGAAUAUGCAUGUUUACAAAAGCAAAAGCCUAGGCUUUGGAUGUGGUGAGGACAGACAUCUCUGAGAUGUCCUUAAUUUUAUCCACUUCCAUUGAAUGUUAUUUGCGUUCACCUCUUGUGCAAAAUAAGAACCAAAAGGGAGUCUUCCUUAUUAUCUCCCUUUCCUCUACAUCCAUACAUAAUGUCUAUUGUGCCCCCAAGAGCUCUUCUAAGUGUCUAGAACACCACAAUAAUCAAAGAGACAUGAUUUUUCCAUCACAGAGCUACAUUCAGAUGGUAAACACACUGAGGUUUUAAAGAGAUAAUUUUAGUGGCUUGUUUAAUGUGGCUUAAUCUGAAGGGACACAGUAAAACCAGAGGAGGUUAAUAUCCCAGCACCUAACCUAUAUAGGCAGAAACAUCCAAAUAUAGAUGGAAGGAAAAUUGACAUGAACUAGGCCAUGCUAGCAGGAAAAGAUGAGAAGGAUCAGAUUUUAAGAUAGAAGCACAGUAGCAGUAUGAACCUACAGGAUUUGGCAGGAGUUUGGAUGUAUUUGAGCAUAUGUAUAUAAGGGUACUUUCUGACCAAAUAAGGGGAUAGUAAGGCCAUUAACAAAGAGAAGGGAAGGGGAGGAGAAGAAGGGAAAAAACACUCUUUUGUGUGCUAUAAUUGCUGUUUGAAAUGAAUUACUACUGAGAGGGGAUUUCCACAAAAUGUUUCUGGGAUUUUUUGGAACCAGGGUCUUUAUUUGGGCAACCCUGCACCUACUGCAUGCAUCGUCGAGCCUACCCUCUGCUGGUGUGUGCUGAAGAUUACAUGAUCAAGGCUCUUAAGUGUGUGAUGGAAGGUGCUCAAUGGGAAUUGUAUCCUUCCAAAUGGAGACUGCCAGGGAAAAGUUUU